rnacentral:tRNA from 1 species
GGAGAGUUGGCCGAGUGGUUUAAGGCGCUCGCCUGGAAAGCGUGUAUACUCCAAAAGGGUAUCAAGGGUUCGAAUCCCUUACUCUCCGCAA